AAUUCAAUUUCUGAGCCUGUAAAAAACAUUUGUCAACCAAAUCACCAAUUUGGCUAGAACUUCUAAGGGAAGUCAUGAAAGAAUUUACGGACGUAAGCCAUAAAUAAGUAUCAAUGAGCAGGAACAUAUAGCUUACCUUAGUUCAAAUGGACAGGUUAAGAUUCAUUAUCAAUAUUGUCUCCAGGCUUAUCAUACAAGAUGGAUCAACAAAACUAUCUUAUCUCGGACU
rnacentral:lncRNA from 1 species